CCUACGGGUGGCAGCAGUGGGGAAUAUUGCACAAUGGGGGGAACCCUGAUGCAGCGACGCCGCGUGGGCGAUGAAGUUCUUCGGCAUGUAAAGCCCUAUCAGCAGGGAAGAAAAUGACGGUACCUGACUAAUAAGCACCCGCUAAAUACGUGCCAGCAGCCGCGGUAAUACUUAGGGGGCAAGCGUUAUCCGGAUUUACUGGGUGUAAAGGGAGCGUAGGCGGCCUGGCAAGCCUGAUGUGAAAUACCGGGGCUCAACCCCGGAGCUGCAUUGGAAACUGUCAGGCUGGAGUGCCGGAGAGGUAAGCGGAAUUCCUAGUGUAGCGGUGAAAUGCGUAGAUAUUAGGAGGAACACCAGUGGCGAAGGCGGCUUGCUGGACUGUGACUGACGCUGAGGCUCGAAAGCGUGGGGAGCAAACAGGAUUAGAUACCCGGGUAGUC
rnacentral:rRNA from 1 species